rnacentral:tRNA from 1 species
UGGGGCGUAGCCAAGCGGUAAGGCAACGGGUUUUGGUCCCGCUAUUCGGAGGUUCGAAUCCUUUCGUCCCAG